UACGUAGGCAGCAAGCGUUGUUCGGAGUUACUGGGCGUAAAGGGUGUGUAGGCGGUUCUUUAAGUUUGGUGUGAAAUCUCCCGGCUCAACCGGGAGGGUGCGCCGAAAACUGAAGGGCUAGAGUGCGGGAGAGGAGAGUGGAAUUCCUGGUGUAGCGGUGAAAUGCGCAGAUAUCAGGAAGAACACCCGUGGCGAAGGCGGCGUCUCUGGGACGGUACUGGACGGCUGAAGACGCGAAAAGCGUGGGGAGCAAACAGG
rnacentral:rRNA from 1 species